GACGAACGCUGGCGGCGUGCUCAACACAUGCAAGUCGAACGGAAAGGCCCUGCUUAUGUGGGGUGCUCGAGUGGCGAACGGGUGAGUAACACGUGAGUAACCUGCCUUUGACAUUGGGAUAACUUCAGGAAAAUGGGGCUACUACCUGAUAGGCGCUCCAGCUGCAUGGUGGGGGUUGGCAAGUUUCGGCGGUUGGGGAUGGACUCGCGGCCUAUCAGACUGUAGGGGUGGUAGUGGCUUACCAAGGCUGAGACGGGUAGGCGGCCGGAGAGGGUGACCGGCGACAUAGGGAAUGGGCAAACGCCCAGACUGCUACGGGAUGCAGCAGUGGAGGAGAUUGCGCAUGAGACGGAAGCAGGAUGCAGUAACGCCGCGUGCGCGAUGAUGGCCUUCGGGGUGUAGACCGCUUGCGCCUGUGACGAAGCGUGUGUGACGUGAAUGGGUAGAGAAGCACCUGGUAGCUACGUG
rnacentral:rRNA from 1 species